AUCAGAGUGGCGCAGCGGAAGCGUGGUGGGCCCAUAACCCACUAGUCCCAAGAUCAAACUUGGCUCUGAUA
rnacentral:tRNA from 1 species